rnacentral:telomerase_RNA from 1 species
GGUGGGAUGAGGUGGCGGUGGUUUCUCAGGCAAUGCCAAACCCUAAACCGCCCUAGAAACAGGGAUUCUAGACUCCGGGGUGUUUGUCCGGCUGUUUCCCCGACAAAAAAGAAACGCCGAUGCCCGGCCCGAGACUCCGCCGCGAUGGAAAAUAAUUUGCACCGCGGGAGGGCUAGAAGGGAGUCUUGUCGGCAUGUGGGGUCACAUGUUUGACGGUUUCUAUUCCUCGCCCUCCCAAUCAUCCCCAUUUU